UACAGAGGUCUCAAGCGUUUGUUCGGAUUCAUUGGGCGUAAAGGGUGUGUAGGUGGCGCCGUAAGUCGGGUGUGAAAUUUCGGAGCUUAACUCCGAAACUGCAUUCGAUACUGCGGUGCUUGAGGACUGGAGAGGAGACUGGAAUUUACGGUGUAGCAGUGAAAUGCGUAGAUAUCGUAAGGAAGACCAGUGGCGAAGGCGGGUCUCUGGACAGUUCCUGACGCUGGAGGUGCGAAAGCGUGGGGAGCAAACAGG
rnacentral:rRNA from 1 species